CCUACGGGAGGCAGCAGUGGGGAAUAUUGCUCAAUGGGGGAAACCCUGAAGCAGCAACGCCGCGUGGAGGAUGACGGUUUUCGGAUUGUAAACUCUUUUUGUUAGAGAAGAAAAUGACGGUAUCUAACGAAUAAGCACCGGCUAACUCCGAGCCAGCAGCCCGGGCAAUACGGAGGGUGCAAGCGUUAAUCGGAAUCACGGGGCGGAAAGCGCGCGUAGGCGGGAGAGCAAGUCAGAGGGUAAAUCCUAUGGGUUAACCAUAGAACUGCAUUUGAAACUGAUAUUCUUGAGUAUGGGAGAGGUAGGUGGAAUUCGUGGUGUAGGGGUGAAAUCCGUAGAGAUCAAGAGGAAUACUCAUUGCGAAGGCGGCCUGCUAGAGCAUAACUGACGCUGAUGCGCGAAAGCGUGGGGAGCGAACAGGAUUAGAUACCCGUGUAGUC
rnacentral:rRNA from 1 species